rnacentral:rRNA from 2 species
GCGCCCGACCUCCAACCCUUUGUUGUUAAAACUACCUUGUUGCUUUGGCGGGACCGCUCGGUCUCGAGCCGCUGGGGAUUCGUCCCAGGCGAGCGCCCGCCAGAGUUAAACCAAACUCUUGUUAUUAAACCGGUCGUCUGAGUUAAAAUUUUGAAUAAAUCAAAACUUUCAACAACGGAUCUCUUGGUUCUCGCAUCGAUGAAGAACGCAGCGAAAUGCGAUAAGUAAUGUGAAUUGCAGAAUUCAGUGAAUCAUCGAAUCUUUGAACGCACAUUGCGCCCCUUGGUAUUCCGAGGGGCAUGCCUGUUCGAGCGUCAUUACACCACUCAAGCUAUGCUUGGUAUUGGGUGCCGUCCUUAGUUGGGCGCGCCUUAAAGACCUCGGCGAGGCCUCACCGGCUUUAGGCGUAGUAGAAUUUAUUCGAACGUCUGUCAAAGGAGAGGACUUCUGCCGACUGAAACCUUUAUUUUUCUAGGUUGACCUCGGAUCAGGUAGGGAUACCCGCUGAACUUAAGCAUAUCAAUAAGCCGGGAGGAA